rnacentral:rRNA from 1 species
CCGUAAACGAUGGAUGCUGGGUGUGGCGGGUAUAGAUUCCCUCCGUGCCGAAGCUAACGCGGUAAGCAUCCCGCCUGGGGACUACGGCCGCAAGGCUAAAACUCAAACGAAUUGACGGGUCCCCGCACAAGCAGCGGAGCGUGUGGUUUAAUUCGAUGCUACACGAAGAACCUUACCUGGGUUUGACAUGCAAGUAGUAGUGAAGCGAAAGCGGAACGACCCUUCGGGGAGCUUGCACAGUUGCUGCAUGGCUGUCGUCAGCUCGUGCCGUGAGGUGUCGGGUUAAGUCCCGUAACGAGCGCAACCCUUGCCCUUAGUUAUACGUGUCUAAGGGGACUGCCCGGGACAACUGGGAGGAAGGUGGGGAUGACGUCAAGUCAGCAUGGCCUUUAUAUCCAGGGCGACACACACGCUACAAUGGCCGGUACAAUGGGUUGCCAAGCCGUGAGGCGGAGCCAAUCCCGCAAAGCCGGUCUAAGUUCGGAUUGUGGGCUGCAACUCGCCCACAUGAAGCUGGAGUUGCUAGUAACCGCGCGUCAGCCAUAGUGCGGUGAAUACGUUCCCGGGGAUUGUACACACCGCCCGUCACGUCAUGGAAGCUGGCAACACCUAAAGCCGGUAUGCU